rnacentral:rRNA from 1 species
CCUACGGGGGGCUGCAGUGGGGAAUAUUGGACAAUGGGGGGAACCCUGAUCCAGCCAUGCCGCGUGUGUGAAGAAGGCCCUCGGGUUGUAAAGCACUUUCAGUGAGGAAGAACGCCUGGUGGUUAAUACCCAUCAGGAAAGACAUCACUCACAGAAGAAGCACCGGCUAACUCCGUGCCAACAGCCGCGGUAAUACGGAGGGUGCGAGCGUUAAUCGGAAUUACUGGGCGUAAAGCGCGCGUAGGUGGCUUGAUAAGCCGGUUGUGAAAGCCCCGGGCUCAACCUGGGAACGGCAUCCGGAACUGUCAAGCUAGAGUGCAGGAGAGGAAGGUAGAAUUCCCGGUGUAGCGGUGAAAUGCGUAGAGAUCGGGAGGAAUACCAGUGGCGAAGGCGGCCUUCUGGACUGACACUGACACUGAGGUGCGAAAGCGUGGGUAGCAAACAGGAUUAGAUACCCUAGUAGUC